rnacentral:rRNA from 1 species
UACGAAGGGGGCUAGCGUUGCUCGGAAUCACUGGGCGUAAAGGGUGCGUAGGCGGGUCUUUAAGUCAGGGGUGAAAUCCUGGAGCUCAACUCCAGAACUGCCUUUGAUACUGGCGAUCUUGAGUUCGGGAGAGGUGAGUGGAACUCCGAGUGUAGAGGUGAAAUUCGUAGAUAUUCGGAAGAACACCAGUGGCGAAGGCGGCUCACUGGCCCGAUACUGACGCUGAGGUGCGAAAGCGUGGGGAGCAAACAGG